rnacentral:rRNA from 1 species
CGUGUAGGCGGCCUUUUAAGUCAGACGUGAAAUCCAUGGGCUUAACCCAUGAAUUGCGUUUGAAACUGGAGGGCUUGAGGAUCGGAGAGGGCAGUGGAAUUCCCAGUGUAGCGGUGAAAUGCGUAGAUAUUGGGAGGAACACCAGUGGCGAAGGCGACUGCCUGGACGACACCUGACGCUGAGGCGCGAAAGCUAGGGGAGCAAACGGGAUUAGAUACCCCGGUAGUCCUAGCCGUAAACGAUGGGUACUAGGUGUGGGAGGUAUCGACCCCUUCCGUGCCGCAGUUAACACAAUAAGUACCCCGCCUGGGGAGUACGGCCGCGAAGGUUGAAA